AUUGAACGCUGGCGGCAUGCCUUACACAUGCAAGUCGAACGGUAACAGGUCUUCGGAUGCUGACGAGUGGCGAACGGGUGAGUAAUACAUCGGAACGUGCCCGAGAGUGGGGGAUAACGAGGCGAAAGCUUUGCUAAUACCGCAUACGAUCUCAGGAUGAAAGCAGGGGACCGCAAGGCCUUGCGCUCACGGAGCGGCCGAUGGCAGAUUAGGUAGUUGGUGGGAUAAAAGCUUACCAAGCCGACGAUCUGUAGCUGGUCUGAGAGGACGACCAGCCACACUGGGACUGAGACACGGCCCAGACUCCGACGGGAGGCAGCAGGGGGGAAUUUGGGACAAUGGGCGCAAGCCGGAUCCAGCCAUGCCGCGUGCAGGAUGAAGGCCUUCGGGUUGUAAACUGCUUUUGUACGGAACGAAAAGACUCUGGUUAAUACCUGGGGUCCAUGACGGUACCGUAAGAAUAAGCACCGGCUAACUACGUGCCAGCCGCCGCCGUAACAC
rnacentral:rRNA from 1 species